rnacentral:rRNA from 1 species
UACGUAGGUGGCAAGCGUUGUCCGGAAUUAUUGGGCGUAAAGCGCGCGCAGGCGGUCCUUUAAGUCUGAUGUGAAAGCCCACGGCUCAACCGUGGAGGGUCAUUGGAAACUGGGGGACUUGAGUGCAGAAGAGGAGAGUGGAAUUCCACGUGUAGCGGUGAAAUGCGUAGAGAUGUGGAGGAACACCAGUGGCGAAGGCGGUUCUCUGGGACGGUACUGACGCUGAGACGCGAAAGCGUGGGGAGCGAACAGG